GACGAACGCUGGCGGCGUGCUUAACACAUGCAGGUCGAACGGAAAGGCCCCUUUGGGGGUACUCGAGUGGCGAACGGGUGAGUAACACGUGAGUAACCUGCCCUUGACUUCGGGAUAACUUCAGGAAACUGGGGCUAAUACCGGAUAGGAAUCCUUGCUGCAUGGUGGGGGUUGGAAGGCUUCGGCGGUUUUGGAUGGACUCGCGGCUUAUCAGCUUGUUGGUGGGGUAGUGGCUUACCAAGGCUUUGACGGGUAGCCGGCCUGAGAGGGCGACCGGCCACAUUGGGACUGAGAUACGGCCCAGACUCCUACGGGAGGCAGCGGUGGGGAAUAUUGCACAAUGGGCGGAAGCCUGAUGCAGCAACGCCGCGUGCGGGAUGACGGCCUUCGGGUUGUAAACCGCUUUCAGCAGGGGCGAAGCUUGUGGUGACGGUACCUGCAGAAGAAGCACCGGCUAACUACGUG
rnacentral:rRNA from 1 species